UACGGUUGCAAAGCUGAAACUUAAAGGAAUUGACGGAAGGGCACCACCAGGAGUGGAGCCUGUGGCUUAAUUUGACUCAACACGGGAAACCUCACCCGGUCCGGACACUGGAAGGAUUGACAGACUAAAGCUCUUUCUUGAUUCAGUGGGUGGUGGUGCAUGGCCGUUCUUAGUUGGUGGAGUGAUUUGUCUGGUUAAUUCCGAUAACGAACGAGACUCUCGCCUGCUAAAUAGUUUUCCAUACGUUACUUUAUGGAACCUAAAACUUCUUAGAGGUACAAGUGGCGUUUAGCCACACGAAACAGAGCAAUAACAGGUCUGUGAUGCCCUUAGAUGUCCGGGGCCGCACAUGUGCUACAAUGAAUGCAUCAACGUGUAUCAGCCUCGCCCGAAAGGGUUGGGGAAUCCGCUGAACGGCAUUCUCAGUAGGGAUUGGGGAUUGCAAUUAUUUCCCAUGAACACGGAAUUCCCAGUAGGCGCCAGUCAUCAGCUGGCGUCGAUUGAGUCCCUGCCCUUUGUACACACCGCCCGUCGCUACUACCGAUCGCUCUUGUUAAUGAGCUUGUCGGAUUGGACCCGGUGAGCAGUCGUUGCGCUUCAUCUCCUCGCGGGGUGGGCCUUCGUCUGCGAGCUUUUGGUGUAUGCCGAGAAGAUCGGCAAAUUAUCUGGAGUAGAGGAAGUAAAAGUCGUAACAAGGUAUCCGUAGGUGAACCUGCGGAUGNNNNNNNNNNAAUAAAAGGCUCCGGGAAGGGAAACCCGGGUUAAGAAAAACUCCCGUACAUAGAUACGUACUACUCUGUGCGGUGGAUCACUCGGCUCGUGUGUCGAUGAAGAGCGCAGCUAGCUGCGAGAAGUAAUGUGAAUUGCAGAACCACAUUGAAACAUCGACAUCUUGAACGCACAUGGCGGCCUCCGGGUUACUCCGGAGGCCACGUCUGUCUGAGAGUCGGAAUUGUAGUGCUUUAAAAAUCGGCGGUCACCACCAAAAUAUAUGUCGUAUACAAUAGAYACGAUAGGUGGAUGUCCGCGAGGGUUGCUUCUCGGUAGAAAGAUACAUACAAAAAGUAAAAGAGAAGCCGCCGAGGGCGAGUUGUGAAAGUA
rnacentral:rRNA from 1 species